GAUGAAGAAACGUAGCGAAAUGCGAUAAGUAAUGUGAAUUGCAGAAUUCAGUGAAUCAUCGAAUCUUUGAACGCACAUUGCGCCCGCUGGUAUUCCGGCGGGCAUGCCUGUUCGAGCGUCAUUUCAACCCUCAAGCUCUCCGGAGUUUGGUGUUGGGGCGCCUGGGGCUUUUCGACCUCAGGGCCCUCAAGUCCAUCGGCGGGACCGCCAGGACACUGAGCGCAGUAGUAUUAUUUCGCUCGGUAGGAUCUUCCACGGCGGGUCGAUCUGGCCGCUAAACCCCCCAAUUCUCACCAAAGGUUGACCUCGGAUCAGGUAGGAAUACCCGCUGAACUUAAGCAUAUCAAUAAGCGGAGGA
rnacentral:misc_RNA from 1 species